rnacentral:rRNA from 1 species
GGGUCAGUAGGUUGGUCGUGCCACCGGUACGUACUGGUCUCACUGAUUCCUCCUUCCUGAAGAACCGUAAUGCCAUUAAUUUGGUGUUGCGGGGAAACAGGGCUGUUACUUUGAAAAAAUUAGAGUGUUUAAAGCAAGCUAACGCUUGAAUACAUUAGCAUGGAAUAGUGAAAUAGGACGAUCGAUCCUAUUUUGUUGGUUUCUAGGAUUGACGUA